UACGAAGGGGGCUAGCGUUGCUCGGAAUUACUGGGCGUAAAGGGCGCGUAGGCGGCUAGUUCAGUUGGGGGUGAAAGCCCGGGGCUCAACCUCGGAACUGCCUUCAAUACUGGCUAUCUUGAGUACGGGAGAGGUGUGUGGAACUCCGAGUGUAGAGGUGAAAUUCGUAGAUAUUCGGAAGAACACCAGUGGCGAAGGCGACACACUGGCCCGUUACUGACGCUGAGGCGCGAAAGCGUGGGGAGCAAACAGG
rnacentral:rRNA from 1 species